UACGUAGGGACCUAGCGUUGUCCGGAAUCAUUGGGCGUAAAGCGCGCGUAGGCGGCCCGGUAAGUCCGUUGUAAAAGUCAAAGGCUCAACCUUUGAAAGCCGAUGGAUACUGCCGGGCUAGAGUCCGGAAGAGGCGAGUAGAAUUCCUGGUGUAGCGGUGGAAUGCGCAGAUAUCUGGAGGAAUACCGGUGGCGAAGGCGGCAUCCUGGACCAUUACUGACGCUGAGGCGCGAAAGCUAGGGGAGCAAACGGG
rnacentral:rRNA from 1 species